UUAAAUGUUGACUACUCAGCAUACAAUUAUCUUCCUAACAUGGUGUCAUUCUAACAGACAGGGAAGGAGUCAGGAGAGAGGGAGAGAUGGCCGACCCAGUGUCCACACAGAAAUGACUAGGUCUUUUCCUGGCCUUUUUGGGGCCAAGGGAAAGCGCCGGUGCGUUCGAGGGCCUUCCAAUAAAUUCACUAUGGUCAAAGAGAUCCAGCUCACAUUUUAUCUCUUGCUCAAAGUCACUGAGCGCACUCCCAAAGGCAGUGACGAAAUUCUUCACCUGCAAGCUGGUUUGGGACGUAGGUCAACACAAAUACCUGAAAACUACACCCAUGAUGAGAUAUGUUCAACUCUGAAAGAGCUAUAUCCAAAACUGGAAAGUGUGUCUGGGGGGCUGGCUAAUUUACAAAGAAGCAGG